AUGAUGGACUACAAAUCUGGGUUGCUAAUUUCUAUCAUCUACUUUACAGGCAUUUAUUGUCAGACUCUGACAGAAUCUGAGUCAGUGGUUAAAAGACCAGGAGAAUCCCACAAACUGACCUGCACAGCCUCUGGAUUCACAUUCAGCAGCUAUGAGAUGAACUGGGUCAGACAGGCUCCUGGAAAAGGACUGGAGUGGAUCGCUUAUAUCAGUAGUGGUGGUGGUGGCCAGUACUACUCACAGUCAGUCCAGGGCAGGUUCACCAUCUCCAGAGACAACAGCAGAGAUCAGCUGUAUCUGCAGAUGAACAGCCUGAGAACAGAGGAUUCUGCAGUUUAUUACUGUGCUCGAGAGGCACAAUGA